AAUAAAUAUAUUAUUACCCAAGUGCUAAACUGUAAUAUCAUACAGCUUGGAAUUAUCCGACAAGUAGUCAGACGAAAGGAUACUUUUGUAAGGUUGCUUUCUAUGUAUAGUGAUAUAUGUAGAGGAGAGGUAAAACUCAAUACUGGGUAAUGUGCAAAUAUUAUCGUUUAAUAAAACACUAGAGUUGUCGUAGCCACAAUAGACGGCACAGUGUGCAAUAAGCCUAUAACUUGUACUGUAGCAGGUAUAGAGCAAUGUAGGUAAUGCUAAACAAGGCUAUUUCUCGUGAUGUUUCUGAAAAGGAACUAUAAGACAUAACUAGGUUAAAGUAGCUCAAUACGAGAUAAAAAGCAGGAAAACAUAUAUUAGGUGGAAUUUAAUACAAAUAUUGUCUGAAUGAUGAGUGAAAUUUGCAAGUAAACAAUCUUGCACGAGCUUAGAAAGGGACAAGAAGUAUAGAGGUCGCAACUUUAUGCUCAGACUUGUUCUCUCGGUUGUCGAAUAAUUAAAAAGAUAACUAUUUGUAAGGCGAAAGUCUAAUAAUAUAUUUACUUUA
rnacentral:sRNA from 1 species